rnacentral:rRNA from 1 species
UAAGGAAUAUUGGUCAAUGGACGCAAGUCUGAACCAGCCAUGCCGCGUGGAGGAUUAAGGCCCUCUGGGUUGUAAACUCCUUUUAUCUGGGAAGAAAUGUACUUUUUUUUGAGUACUUGACGGUACCAGAGGAAUAAGCACCGGCUAACUCCGUGCCAGCAGCCGCGGUAAUACGGAGGGUGCAAGCGUUAUCCGGAUUCACUGGGUUUAAAGGGUGCGUAGGUGGGCAGGUAAGUCAGUGGUGAAAUCUCCGGGCUUAACCCGGAAACUGCCGUUGAUACUAUUUGUCUUGAAUAUUGUGGAGNUAAGCGGAAUAUGUCAUGUAGCGGUGAGAUGCUUAGAUAUGACAUAGAACACCAAUUGCGAAGGCAGCUUACUACACAAUCAUUGACGCUGAGGCACGAAAGCGUGGGGAUCAAACA